rnacentral:tRNA from 1 species
GGUGAGGUGUCCGAGCGGGUUAAGGAGCAUGCCUGGAAAGCAUGUAUAUAUAAUUUAUGUAUCAAGGGUUCGAAUCCCUUCCUCACCGCCA